rnacentral:rRNA from 1 species
UACGUAGGGGGCAAGCGUUAUCCGGAUUUACUGGGUGUAAAGGGAGCGCAGACGGAACUGCAAGUCUGAUGUGAAAGCCCGGGGCUCAACCGCGGGACUGCAUUGGAAACUGUAGAUCUGGAGUGCCGGAGGGGCAAGCGGAAUUCCUGGUGUAGCGGUGAAAUGCGUAGAUAUCAGGAGGAACACCGGCGGCGAAGGCGGCUUGCUGGACGGCAACUGACGUUGAGGCACGAAAGCAUGGGUAGCGAACAGGAUUAGAUACCCCCGUA